AGUACUGAUAAGGAGCCAAUUAUUUUUAAUAGAAUAUAUACCUACUAAACUUAACUUCUCAAACUCUAGGCAUUUACAGAUCCAUUUGUAUACGUCUCCUGGUCCAGAAAGUCUGACCCUUUGUCCCCAAACUUGAGUGAACCCUAUGUGUUCUCACAGCACCAGGGACUUACUCUAGUGUAGCAGGACUUUUGGUACUUACAUGUUUCUCCUAGACCAUGUGUUACCUGUAGGACUAUGUCUCAUUCAUUUCAGUGUCCUCAGCACCUUAAGCCAUGCCUAAGAAAUAUUUAUUGAAUGAACAUUUGAAUGACUCUUUCAAAACUGAUUAUUUUUGGGAAUAUAUAUUUCCAUGUUCCCUGAUACUAUGGAUUUGGGCAAAAUGAACUAUAAUGAAAUCCAUCCUACUGAUUUGUUUAUUUCUACAAUCGCUGCUCCCAAUGUGACUUUCUGGGCCAAGAUCACAUGAUCUUCUGACUGGCCUGCUACACACCCAGGUGAACAGCAACGAUGUAGAAGUUCCCUCCCUAACAAAUGGAGGAGCUUGGAGGUGUAGCAAGUCAAGGCCAUGUAUAUAACUCCUCAGUAUUAAAUUUCAAUGUAACCAGGAGUUUCCAUUAUUUUAUGUUCUUGGAAUUGGGGUCAUUUUUGCAAUAUGCUUUAAAAUAAAGUGGUGUAUUAUAACGAAGAUUUUGAACCAAAACUCAAACAGCCUUUCAUUCAAAAGGGCUGGAAUACAGCCCCAUCUUCUACAGAGGUAUAGAAUUCAGGGGCCAUUGAGUCAGCACAGAAAUGUCCACAUUCUCUCUAAUGUUCUUUUUCAUUUUCAAAAUCUCAAUGCUGAAAAACUUGCACACUGGCAGAACUUCUGCAGAGCAAGACUCAGAUAACCCAUCCUUGUUAAUAUGACUCAUAUUUGCCCAUUUCUCACUAAUAUGACUCAUGCUAAAAUGGGCCAUUAAUAAUACUCCCUGAAAAGCAAAUUUAAAGGUGACUACAUUUUAGAUUAUAUAUGCACACAUGUACAACAAUCCCUAAGGGCUUUUAAAGGUGGAGAGAGAAAACAUUUCCAUUUGCAAAUGGCAGAAGGGGCUCUGUUCCAACAUUUGAAAAAUAAAUCAUAUUUAAAACUAGGGCCAGACUUGGAAAAUUGCUACAAAGAAUGAGUUUUUUGGGAAAGGUAUCACACUGAAAAAACCACUACAGAAAUCCAUAUGGGGUAUCUUUGUGUUUCUUCCCUUAAGAUUUUAAGGCUUAUGUAUUGGAGUAAAGGCUCCUAUUACUUUUGAGAUGCAUUUGGUCCUGGUUUUACUUUCAGGAUUGAAUAAGUGGAAACUGUCCAGAUUAAACAGAAUUGAAUCAUAGGUACUGGACACCGAGGUAUGACUGACUAAAUUAAGUGGGCUUUAGGCAAAAGACAGAUGGUUUAACCAUCUCAUAAUGCCAGAGCUUUGAACUAACUGGGUACAUAGCGAUGACAUUAUUAAAUUGAUACUGUACUAUAAAAUAAAGAUAAAUGAUACCCUUUUUUGUAUUUAGGAAGAAUUAAAAUACUGAUGAUUGGCCAACCUAAGCCUAACUUUGGUAUCCAUAGCAAAAGUAGUGUCCAUACAUGUUCAGGCAACACAGGUUGAUUUGUUCAGGGGUCUCGAUGCCAGCAUUUUUCAGCACAUUGAGGCUUUCCUUAAUGGUUACUGGAGUUCACAUAGAAUGCUGGUUUCCAGGCUCAGGCUGUCUGGUACCUAUCAUAUGAAGAUCCCUCAGCCAAUGGAUAGCUAUUUGGGAUAGAACCCAUUGGUGGAGGAGCCCAUGGUCCAAGAACAAAUGUCCAAAUUUUGGUCCCUGCUUUUGUAAUCCAAGGUGUCUUGCUGCCUGUGGCUGUAUCUUCUUCUAAAGACUGAAGCUGAGAAGAAGGCUUGGUUUCCUCCCUUGGCUGCCCCCAAGACUACUGUUGCCACAGGGUGCUUCUUUCUUCCCUUUCUAUUGGUUUUCCCCAGAGAAGACUACGUGUGGAUAUCUACUAUAAAACAUGUGUGCAUGGAAAAUUGUAGGGCCAGAUGCUUCUGGAUUAAGAGAACAUGACCAGAUCUGGAGAAGGAGCAGCUGGGAGGAGGAGCCUGACUUUCUUAGCAAAACCAGUUCCUUUGCUUUCCCAUGUGGUUGGCCUCAGCCUUGUCUUUUAAGUUAAGUGAUGGGGCUAAAAAAAGUAAUGAGCCCCAGGAAGACCUGGGGUCCAGUCCCUGAUCUGCCACUUCAUUGCCUCACAACCUUGGGGAAGUCAUUUAUCCUCUCUGAGCCUCAGUUUCCUCAUUUGCAAAUUUCAAAUAACCAUCCUUCUGUAACUGACAAGGUUGUUGUAAGACUAUAAAGCACAUGUUAUUUUAUUUGUGUCUAUAUAAGGAAUAAUUAUUAUUGAGCUGCAUCAUAUGAAACUUCAAUUUUUGAAAGUCAAAAACAGUCAAACGUUGGUAAUUUUAAAUCAUUUGCUACUAUUUCAAGUAAAAGGAAACCCUGCAGAUGGUGCUUAUGCCAGAGGAGAGAAUAUUAUCCAGGGGGCAAUGGAAAGCUUCUGAAUGAGUUGUAUAAAUUGUUACAGGACUAUAAUAGAGAGAAAGAAUAGGCUUAAGUAUUAUCUUAGACAUGCACAGACAUUCCCAUGAUGGCUGAAUGUUCCCAUUUUAGCUGGAUGCUUAGUUUUGCACAAUUGUAGAGAAAAUCAACAAAAUAGUUUGUCAUCUCUUUUAACGUUCUGGGGUAGCCUCGAUGAAAACCUAGAGCAGUCGUUCUUGACCUUGUCUGUAAGUUAGGAAACACUGGGAAGCUUUAAAAAAAUCUUAACCCCCCAUAUCCAGAUCAAUUAGAUGACCAUUUCUGGGUGUUGGGGGCUGAAUUUCACCCUCUCAAAAUUCAUACACUGAUGUCCUAAUCCCCUGUACUUCAACAUGCCAACCAAAACCUGCCAGCACCUUAAUCUUGGACUUUCAGCCUCCAGAACUGUGAGAAAAUAAAUUUCUGAUUUUUAAGCCACCUAUUCUGUGGUAUUUUGUUAUGGUAUUCCUAGCAAAUUAAUACAGAUUUGCAGAAUGGGAUGUGACAUCAGGAAUUUUUCAGGCAUCCCAUGUGAUUUUAAGGGGCAGCCAAGAUUGAGAACCACAAGCCUAGCAGAAGAGAAAGAGGCCCAGGGUCAAGAUGAGUGAACAUGGGGAAAAAUCAUGAAUGCUGUCAGUUACUUUCUAAAUACUGGUUAUCAUUAUCUUUCAUCCCUAGUGUGGCACCAUCAGUCACAAAAUCUCUUAAGUUUCCACUUACGUCUAGUUACAAUAUGCAGUUAGCUAAUGUACCACCCAGAAAACACCACAGGGUAACAGUCUGUGCCGUGAGAUAGUGACCUUUUAAAGGCACUUGAUGGGUAUGUGGGUUGGGUUCUCUCCCUCUGCCAGCAUUUCUACAGCUACUCCAAAGAGCAGUGAAUGCCUCAGAAAAGGGUCUCAUCCAAAUCCCAAGGGUGCCCCCUGCUGGAAAAGGUGUAGAAAUCAGCCCACAGAGCCCAGUAAAUACUGCUCAAGUUCAGUUUCUUUGAGAGGGAUUCUCAGAAUGUCAGUGCUGGAAGUUACCAUAGAUGGAAUGAAUCUCCCUCAUUUAUCAAAUGACGAAGAUGAAAUCCAUAUCAGGUAAGCAACUUGAAUAAAAUUACGUGGCUCUUAGUCUCUCUAUUGGAAGCUGAGCUCAGGAGACAGGAAUGAUUUCUAGAAGCUCAUUUAAACAAACAAGCAAAAAAACAAACUUGUUCCCCUGAAGAUAUGGGAAGAAAAAUGAAAAGAAUACAAGUGCUUAGUUGUGGUUUAUACAGCUCCAAAUCUAAAAUAGCUGUUUAAUAUUCUAUAUAAUUAACAGACUUUGAACUUACGGCAUAUAGAUAAAAGAGUGACUUCAUCAUCAGUCUAAAAUAGGAUUUGCAUAGAUAUAAAAUAAAAUAUGCUUUAUGAGAUUAAUCUAUUAAUCUGUUAUAUGAGAUUAAUCUAUAAUAAAAAUGCAUCUCAAAUUGGUUAGCCUAUGUUGAAGUACUUUGAAAAGUAUA
rnacentral:lncRNA from 1 species